GAUGAACGCUGGCGGCGUGCCUAAUACAUGCAAGUCGAGCGAACAGACGAGGAGCUUGCUCCUCUGACGUUAGCGGCGGACGGGUGAGUAACACGUGGAUAACCUACCUAUAAGACUGGGAUAACUUCGGGAAACCGGAGCUAAUACCGGAUAAUAUAUUGAACCGCAUGGUUCAAUAGUGAAAGACGGUUUUGCUGUCACUUAUAGAUGGAUCCGCGCCGCAUUAGCUAUUUGGUCAGGUAACGGCUUACCAAGGCAAUGAUGCGUAGCCGAACUGAGAGGGGGAACGGCCACAAUGGAGAUGAGACACGGUCCAAACUCCUUAGGGAGGCAGCAGUAGGGAAGACUCCCCAAUGGGCGAAAGCCUGCCGGAGCAACGCCGCGUGAGUGAUGAAGGUCUUCGGAUCGUAAAACUCUGUUAUUAGGGAAGAACAAAUGUGUAAGUAACUAUGCACGUCUUGGCGGUACCUAAUCAGAAAGCCACGGCUAACUACGUG
rnacentral:rRNA from 1 species